rnacentral:rRNA from 1 species
AGUUAGUGGCGGACGGGUGAGUAACGCGUGGGUAACCUGCCUUGUACUGGGGGACAACAGUUGGAAACGACUGCUAAUACCGCAUAAGCGCACAGCUUCGCAUGAAGCGGUGUGAAAAACUCCGGUGGUACAAGAUGGACCCGCGUCUGAUUAGCUGGUUGGCGAGGUAACGGCCCACCAAGGCGACGAUCAGUAGCCGGCCUGAGAGGGUGAACGGCCACAUUGGGACUGAGACACGGCCCAAACUCCUACGGGAGGCAGCAGUGGGGAAUAUUGCACAAUGGGGGAAACCCUGAUGCAGCAACGCCGCGUGAGUGAAGAAGUAUUUCGGUAUGUAAAGCUCUAUCAGCAGGAAAGAAAAUGACGGUACCUGACUAAGAAGCCCCGGCUAACUACGUGCCAGCAGCCGCGGUAAUACGUAGGGGGCAAGCGUUAUCCGGAUUUACUGGGUGUAAAGGGAGCGUAGACGGUUUUGCAAGUCUGAAGUGAAAGCCCGGGGCUUAACCCCGGGACUGCUUUGGAAACUGUAGAACUAGAGUGCAGGAGAGGUAAGUGGAAUUCCUAGUGUAGCGGUGAAAUGCGUAGAUAUUAGGAGGAACACCAGUGGCGAAGGCGGCUUACUGGACUGUAACUGACGUUGAGGCUCGAAAGCGUGGGGAGC